rnacentral:lncRNA from 12 species
AUGCUGUUCAUUGGAUCCGCAAAACUUAUUCAUCUUAUGACUAGAAGUGUGUGCCCUUUGGCCAAAAAACUCCCCACUUCCCCUUCCCCCAAGCCUCUGGUUACCACCGCUCUGCUGUUUCUAGUUCAGGUUUCUGAGAUUUCACAUAUAAGUGAGAUCACUCAGUAUAUUUUUCUUUCUCUGGCUGACUUACUUCCCUUGGCACAAUGUCCUCAAAGUCCAUCCAUGUCACAAUGUCAGGAUGUGAAGCUAGCAAUCUUGGGAAGUCUGAUCUCUGGACACAAACUUCUCCUUGGAUGGACUCUUGGGAGUCCAAGGACUGCCAACUCAUGUGUAAAUUUGGAUGAUAAGUCUAGAGGCAUUUUCUCCAGUCCUUAUGUCAGUAACAAUGUUGACAUUCUGAUACCGGAGUGAAUUCCUGGGUCGUUGGUUGGUGUAUGUUGACUGUAUGAAACUGCCAAACAAUUGAAUACUGCCAGGAAGUAUGAGUAAAGCCCCUAGGAACAUCUUUGUAUACAGCUUUUUGUGGAUACACAUACAAUUAUCUUGGGUAUGUACAUGCAAGUGGAAUAAUUAAGUCAUGUGGUAGGUGUAUGUUACCUUUAUUUGAAACUGCCAAACACUUUUCCAAAUUGACUGUUUUAUACUCCUGCUAGCAAUGGUUGUAUACUCAUAUACUCACCAACACCCAGUACUGUCUGUCUUUUUCAACUUUAUUAAUUUUUAAAGAUUCAUUUAUUCAUUUGAGAGAGAGAGAGAGAGAGGGACAUGAGUGGAGGAAGGGACAGAGGGAGAGAAGCUUCAAACAGAGCCCCAAAAUGCACUUCAGUCUCACUACAUUGAGAUCAUGACUUGAGAUGAAACCAAGAGUAGGCCAUUCAACUGAUUGAGUCAUCCAGGCACCCCUGCCUUUUUUAAUUUUAGAUAUUCUGCUGGGCUUAAUUUGCAUUUAAUGAUUGUUAAUAAUAACAUCUAUUCUAAUUACUUCAUUCUUUCACAUAUCACUUUAUUAAUUUCACAUUUCAUUGUGGCUUUGAUUUACAUUUUCCUAAUGCAAUAAUAAUAUUGAGGAUAUUUUCAUAUAUUUAUUGGCUAUUUGGAUAUCUUUUGUCAGGUGUCUAAAAUCUUUAGCCCAUUUUUUAAAGUUGGGUGUUUUGUAUUUUUUAAAAAAAUAAUUAUUAUGAAUUCUUUAUAUAUUCUGCAUAAUAAUGAAUCAUUUGACAUAUAUAUAUAUCUCAGAUAUAUAUCUAUGUUAGAUGUAUAUAUGUCAGGUAUAUAGAUACUGGUGGCAAAUAUUUUUCCCAGUCUGUGGCUUUCACUUUCUAAAUGGUUGCUGAAUAAAUUGAAACAUGUUUUUAAUUGAGAGAGAACA